GCGCAUGCAGGUGGUUUGUUAAGUCAGAUGUGAAAGCCCGGGGCUCAACCUCGGAAUUGCAUUUGAAACUGGCAAACUAGAGUACUGUAGAGGGGGUAGGAAUUUCAGGUGUAGCGGUGAAAUAGCGUAGAGAUCUGAAGGAAUACCGGUGGCGAAGGCGGCCCCCUCGGACAGAUACUGACACUCAGAUGCGAAAGCGUGGGGAGGCAAACAGGAUUAGAUACCCUCGGUAG
rnacentral:rRNA from 1 species